GACGAACGCUGGCGGCGUGCUUAACACAUGCAAGUCGAACGGAAAGGCCCUGCUUUUGCGGGGUGCUCGAGUGGCGAACGGGUGAGUAACACGUGAGUAACCUGCCCUUGACUUUGGGACAACUUCAGGAAACUGGGGCUAAUACAGGAUAGGAGCUCCUGCAGCAUGGUGGGGGUCGGAAAGAUUGGGCGGUGGGGGAUGGACGCCCGGCUUAUGAGCUUGUUGGUGGGGUGGUGGCUUACCAAGGCAUUGACGGGUAGCCGGCCUGAGAGGGUGACCGGGCACAUUGGGACUGAGGGAGGGCCCAGACUGCUACGGGAGGCAGCAGUGGGGAAUAUUGCACAAUGGGCGGAAGCCUGAUGCAGCAACGCCGGGUGCGGGAAGACGGCCUUCGGGUUGUAAACCGCUUUCGGCUGUGACGAAGCGUGAGUGACGGUAAUGGGUAAAGAAGCACCGGCUAACUACGUG
rnacentral:rRNA from 1 species